GCUGGUUUAGCUCAGUUGGUAGAGCAGCAGUUUUGUAAACUGCCGGUCGUAGGUUCAAAUCCUAUAACCAGCUCCA
rnacentral:tRNA from 1 species